GCGCUCCUCGCCCUCAAGUGGUGCAUCGAGUACGAGAGCAGCGACGGCGGCGCCGGCAGGGACAUGAUACACUCCAGUGACUCGACGGACAUAUACAACUAUAACCCGACGCCGGUGGACAUGACGAACCUGACGCUGAGCCGCGACAUGCAGAACAUGGCCGACCGUCUCGCCGAGAACGCCCACGACAUCUGGGCCAAGAAGAAGAAAGAGGAGCUCGAUGCUUGUGGGGGCGGUGUUCACCCUCAAAUGGUGCCGUACGACAUGCUCACUGAGAAGGAGAAGAGAAAAG